AAUGGCCCACUACUUACGCUGGAAAGGGAGUGAAGGCCUUCCUCUCGCUUCUCUGUCUGGAUUUCUCACCCCACGUGGCCACAGUGGUUCUCCUCCGGGGAUCACAGGAGGGUUUGUGACAAUGAAGUUCAUCACGGCCAGCCCCAGGAGCAGCUGAAACCAAAGGGGCCAGGGUGCGCCGAGCAGUCAGGGCCCGUGUGCGCCGAGCGGUCAGGGCCGGUGCGCGCCGAGCCGACGGGCUGGUGCGCGCCGAGCCCACAGGAGGGGGUGGGCCUGCUCCCAGGCUGAUGACUGGCUCCUGGUGAAGUCCUGGAGAGCACUGCCGCUGUCUUAAAGGACAGCUUGUACACACUUAGGAAGACUCACCAGCUGCUCCCGUUUAGUGGCUUAAAAAAUGGUCUUGGUAGUGACUGCAAUGGUCUCCAGACACAGAGGCCGCUACAGCUUGAGACUUGAUCUUGACACACUCAUUCGGUUCCCUACUUUUUCCCCCAAGGCUCGAGGUUCAUCCACCUUGCUAGAACUGACUCAAAUUUGCUCCUUUUAUGGCUGAGUACUAUUCCUUUGUAUAUAUGUACCACAACUUCUUCAUCCAUUCAUCUGUUGACGGACAUUGAGGUUGCUCACUCUUAUCUGUGGUUCCGAUGACAUCUUGCCAAAAUGCAGGUCCAACAGGAUCCCUGGGGGACACUGGAGCUUUAUCACUCUGCCUGUAAAGACCAGUUUCCAGAUCCCUUUCGCAUUUCGUCUCUGAAGCGCAGCAGGCAGGACAGGGCAGGUGAAGGCUGCCAACGGCCACCCACCAGGCUGCGCCUGAACACAGCCCAGUGGUACAGACUUCCCUCAGCCCAUGGCUGGACCAGUCACAUCCUUUGAGCUCCUCAGAAAGGCUGAGUGAGAGACGCAGAGGAGGGCAUUACUCAGAUCAGCUUUGUCCUUAUCCAGGAGCCCUCAUGGCUCAGCAAUGCCCAGUCAGUGUCCCCCACCCGGGGCAGGCUGGUGAUGGAGCUGAUGGCGGCAGACUCUCCCGCUGGAGGGCCUGUGUGCUGCGGACUGAGGCCCGCUGGAUAGAACCCUACCUCGGGUCUUGGAGCCCCGGCUGCUCCCCUGUGGGGGCGCGGCUUACAGCCUGGGCCUGAAGCGUGGUCUGCAGGCCCUCCUUCCCGCGGUCCGUGCGCGCUCAUCCGUCAGCGCGGCUCCGUCCACCACGCUGCCACUCUGGGCUUCACCGGAGACAGCUGUGGUGCUCCCAACGGGUUCUUACGAGAACUCUCUCUCCCCACUUCUGGAAUACAGAAGGUCAGCUGCCUCCCCAAGACAGGCUUGGUCUGGAGGCGGGGGCCUCUUGAGCCUACCGGGCAGGCCUGAGCCAAACCACACACCCCGAGGGAUCAGCGGCCUUCUAGAGAUGCAAGGAGAUGGACUGAAGUCCCACUGUUGCCAGAGGAGGAAGAGAACCCCCAACAGCACUCUGCGCUCCCUUCUGCAGAUCUGAGGCUGCGCUGGGACACUUCACAGGCACCUCCCGGAGCAAGCAGCGAGCUGGGCUCUCGAUGAGGUCAGGAGCCUGGGCUUCAGACCAGCACCUGCAUCUCUGCUGUGGCCCCUCUCUUCACACCAGCUGUGUUGUGAUGCGCUGUUAGCUGAAAAAGGAAAACUGCUUACCCAACAGCAAGCACGUUCCAGCGAAUAGAUUUUGUAAUAUUUAGUAUCACUUAUAUUAUGAAUAUGUGUUGUACAGCUGUAUGCGUACAU
ensembl:lncRNA